rnacentral:rRNA from 1 species
AAUUUUCCGCAAUGGGCGAAAGCCUGACGGAGCGACACCGCGUGAAUGAUGAAUGCCUUAUGGGUUGUAAAGUUCUUUUGGCUGGGAAGAGGGCUCCUCUUUAGGGGGAGUUGACGUUACCAGCAGAAUAAGCUCCGGCUAAUUCCGUGCCAGCAGCCGCGGUAAUACGGAAGGAGCAAGCGUUGUUCGGAUUUAUUGGGCGUAAAGGGAGCGUAGGUGGUUGACUAAGUGGGGCUUUCCAGCACUCGGCUUAACCGAGUGAUUGGCUCCAAACUGGUCAACUUGAGUCCGCUAGGGGAUACUGGAAUUCCGGGUGUAGGGGUGAAAUCUACAGAGAUCCGGAGGAACACCGAUGGCGAAGGCAGGUAUCUGGGGCUGGACUGACACUGAGGCUCGAAAGCCAGGGGAGCAAAC